rnacentral:tRNA from 1 species
AAUUUAAUUUUAAGGAUUUUGAAAAUCCUUCUCGGUAUAGUAAAUUACCUUAAAUUU